CUGACGUUAGCGGCGGACGGGUGAGUAACACGUGGGUAACCUACCUAUAAGACUGGGAUAACUCCGGGAAACCGGGGCUAAUACCGGAUAACACAUGAAACCGCAUGGUUUCAUGAUGAAAGACGGUUUUGCUGUCACUUAUAGAUGGACCCGCGGCGUAUUAGCUAGUUGGUAAGGUAACGGCUUACCAAGGCAACGAUACGUAGCCGACCUGAGAGGGUGAUCGGCCACACUGGAACUGAGACACGGUCCAGACUCCUACGGGAGGCAGCAGCG
rnacentral:rRNA from 1 species